GACGAACGCUGGCGGCGUGCCUAAUACAUGCAAGUCGAGCGAGCGGAACUAACAGAUUUACUUCGGUAAUGACGUUAGGAAAGCGAGCGGCGGAUGGGUGAGUAGCACGUGGGGAACCUGCCCCAUAGUCUGGGAUACCACUUGGAAACAGGUGCUAAUACCGGAUAAGAAAGCAGAUCGCAUGAUCAGCUUUUAAAAGGCGGCGUAAGCUGUCGCUAUGGGAUGGCCCCGCGGUGCAUUAGCUAGUUGGUAAGGUAAAGGCUUACCAAGGCGAUGAUGCAUAGCCGAGUUGAGAGACUGAUCGGCCACAUUGGGACUGAGACACGGCCCAAACUCCUACGGGAGGCAGCAGUAGGGAAUCUUCCACAAUGGACGCAAGUCUGAUGGAGCAACGCCGCGUGAGUGAAGAAGGUUUUCGGAUCGUAAAGCUCUGUUGUUGGUGAAGAAGGAUAGAGGUAGUAACUGGCCUUUAUUUGACGGUAAUCAACCAGAAAGUCACGGCUAACUACGUG
rnacentral:rRNA from 1 species